UGGGGAAUUUUGGACAAUGGGGGAAACCCUGAUCCAGCCAUCCCGCGUGUGCGAUGAAGGCCUUCGGGUUGUAAAGCACUUUUGGCAGGAAAGAAACGUCGCGGGUUAAUACCCCGCGAAACUGACGGUACCUGCAGAAUAAGCACCGGCUAACUACGUGCCAGCAGCCGCGGUAAUACGUAGGGUGCAAGCGUUAAAUCGGAAUUACUGGGCGUAAAGCGUGCGCAGGCGGUUCGGAAAGAAAAGAUGUGAAAUCCCAGAGCUUAACUUUGGGAAACUGCAUUUUUUAAACUACCGGGCUAGAGUGUGUCAGAGGGAGGUGGAAAUUCCGCGUGUAGCAGUGAAAUGCGUAGAUAUGCGGAGGAACACCGAUGGCGAAGGCAGCCUCCUGGGAUAACACUGACGCUCAUGCACGAAAAGCGUGGGGAGCAAAACAGGAUUAGAUACCCUGGUAGUCCACGCCCUAAAACGAUGUCAACUAGCUGUUGGGGCCUUCGGGCCUUGGUAGCGCAGCUAACGCGUGAAGUUGACCGCCUGGGGAGUACGGUCGGCAAGAUUAAAAACUCAAAAGGAAAUUGG
rnacentral:rRNA from 1 species